AAUCCCUUGCAGAUGAAGGAAGCUAUUGACUUUUAAAAUAAGGGUCCUCUGUAGACGCUCGAUGUAAUUGCAUACAUGUACGUUCAGCAGAACACCAAGUUUGAACGUGGCGAGGGUACGAAGACGAGGAGAGUGCUAACUAUUCAUGAGAAUGCUGCUGAACCAGACAGAGUAUCUGCAUCAAAACUACAGUUUACAUUACAUGUGGAGACACCAUCAAGAAAGUCUCGAACUACAACACGUGCAAUGAUGCACUUCUUCU